rnacentral:misc_RNA from 1 species
GAUGAAGAACGUAGUGAAAUGCGAUAAGUAAUGUGAAUUGCAGAAUCCAGUGAAUCAUCGAAUCUUUGAACGCACAUUGCGCCCGCCAGCAUUCUGGCGGGCAUGUCUGUUCGAGCGUCAUUUCAACCCUCGACCUCCCUUUGGGGAAGUCGGCGUUGGGGACCGGCAGCACACCGCCGGCCCUGAAAUGGAGUGGCGGCCCGUCCGCGGCGACCUCUGCGUAGUAAACCAACUCGCACCGGAACCCCGACGUGGCCACGCCGUAAAACACCCAACUUCUGAACGUUGACCUCGAAUCAGGUAGGACUACCCGCUGAACUUAAGCAUAUCAAUAAGCGGAGGA